rnacentral:rRNA from 1 species
GUCGCGUGAAGGAAGACGGCCCUACGGGUUGUAAACUUCUUUUAUACGGGAAUAAAGUGCCCCACGUGUGGGGUUUUGCAAGUACCGUAUGAAUAAGGAUCGGCUAACUCCGUGCCAGCAGCCGCGGUAAUACGGAGGAUCCGAGCGUUAUCCGGAUUUAUUGGGUUUAAAGGGUGCUCAGGCGGGGGGUUAAGUCGGCGGUGAAAUUUUGCAGCUCAACUGUAAAAGUGCCUUCGAAACUGGCUUCCUUGAGUGCGGAUGAGGUAGGCGGAAUUUGUGGUGUAGCGGUGAAAUGCAUAGAUAUCACGAGGAACUCCGAUUGCGCAGGCAGCUUACCAAGCCGUAACUGACGCUCAAGCACGAAGGCGUGGGGAUCAAACAGGAUUAGAUACCCUGGUAGUCCACGCAGUAAACGAUGAUUACUGGCUGUUUGCGAUAUAAUGUAAGCGGCUGAGCGAAAGCGUUAAGUAAUCCACCUGGGGAGUACGU